rnacentral:rRNA from 1 species
GAUUAACGCUAGCGGCAGGCCUAAUACAUGCAAGUUGUACGGGAUUAUUGGUAGCAAUACUGAUAUGAGAGUAGCGCACGGGUGCGUAACACGUAUGCAACCUACCUUUAACUGGGGAAUAGCUCACCGAAAGGUGAAUUAACACCGCAUAAAAUCACAGAAGGACAUCCUUUAAUGAUUAAAUCUCCGGAGGUUAAAGAUGGGCAUGCGUCCGAUUAGCUAGUUGGCGGGGAACAGCCCACCAAGGCAACGAUCGGUAGGGGG